rnacentral:rRNA from 1 species
GACGAACCGUGCGAACGUUGUUCGGAAUCACUGGGCUUAAAGGGCGCGUAGGCGGGUCAUCAAGUCCGGGGUGAAAGCCCCCAGCUUAACUGGGGAAGUGCCUUGGAUACUGAUGGUCUCGAGGGGGGUAGGGGCAGUGGGAACUUCCGGUGGAGCGGUGAAAUGCGUUGAUAUCGGAAGGAACGCCGGUGGCGAAAGCGCACUGCUGGACCUUUUCUGACGCUGAGGCGCGAAAGCCAGGGGAGCAAACGGG